rnacentral:rRNA from 1 species
UACGGAGGGUGCGAGCGGUAAUCGGAAUUACUGGGCGUAAAGCGCGCGUAGGCGGCCUUGUAAGUCGGAUGUGAAAGCCCCGGGCUCAACCUGGGAAUGGCGUUCGAUACUGCUUGGCUAGAGUAUGGAAGAGGGAAGCGGAAUUCCGGGUGUAGCGGUGAAAUGCGUAGAUAUCCGGAGGAACACCAGUGGCGAAGGCGGCUUCCUGGGCCAAUACUGACGCUGAGGCGCGAAAGCGUGGGGAGCAAACAGG